GAUCCUGGCUCAGGAUGAACGCUGGCGGCGUGCUUAACACAUGCAAGUCGAACGGACUUUACAUGAAGCCUAGCGAUUGUAAAGUUAGUGGCGGACGGGUGAGUAACGCGUGAAUAACCUGCCCUGUACCGGGGGGACAACAGUUGGAAACGACUGCUAAUACCGCAUAAGCGCACGGUUCCGCAUGGAACAGUGUGAAAAACUCCGGUGGUACAGGAUGGAUUCGCGUCUGAUUAGCCAGUUGGUGGGGUAACGG
rnacentral:rRNA from 1 species